rnacentral:tRNA from 1 species
UACGUAGUCAGUAUUUUUCUUUAUUCUUAUAAGCUGGCAUAUUUUUUUUCGUUUUAAUAGAUUAGUAUUUGUUUAA